rnacentral:lncRNA from 1 species
UGAAUAUUCAUUAGGGAUUUACUUAAAUCAUUGUAUUUGAUUGGCUGUUAAUAUUUUCGCGGUCAAGUUUAAUAUCCUUUGUUUUGUACCUGUACAUUUCCACGGGACGAUAGCCAUGACAGUCCAUUGAAUUUAUAUCUGUUUAUCUUGACCCCAUAGUUUACCUUUAAACCAUAUAUUUUGGACAACAUUAUUAUAGAAUACUGACUCCAUGUAAUGUAAUUAUGUAGAACACAUGAUUGUGUGAUGUGUAUAUGAUGUGCCAUUGACCUUAUCAGUACAACUCACUCCACAAGUGACUUGUUUUUAUAUACUGGUACAAUAAAUCAUCAGAACCCUAAGCUCUCGUUGGUGUAUUUCUUGGCAUUGAAAACCACCUACUACAAAUGGCCCCC